UUACACAUGCAGUCGAACGAUGAAGCCCUUCGGGGUGGAUUAGUGGCGAACGGGUGAGUAACACGUGGGCAAUCUGCCCUUCACUCUGGGACAAGCCCUGGAAACGGGGUCUAAUACCGGAUAACACCUGCCCGGGCAUCCGGGUGGGUUAAAAGCUCCGGCGGUGAAGGAUGAGCCCGCGGCCUAUCAGCUUGUUGGUGAGGUAGUGGCUCACCAAGGCGACGACGGGUAGCCGGCCUGAGAGGGCGACCGGCCACACUGGGACUGAGACACGGCCCAGACUCCUACGGGAGGCAGCAGUGGGGAAUAUUGCACAAUGGGCGAAAGCCUGAUGCAGCGACGCCGCGUGAGGGAUGACGGCCUUCGGGUUGUAAACCUCUUUCAGCAGGGAAGAAGCGAAAGUGACGGUACCUGCAGAAGAAGCGCCGGCUAACUACGUGCCAGCAGCCGCGGUAAUACGUAGGGCGCAAGCGUUGUCCGGAAUUAUUGGGCGUAAAGAGCUCGUAGGCGGCUUGUCACGUCGGGUGUGAAAGCCCGGGGCUUAACCCCGGGUCUGCAUUCGAUACGGGCUAGCUAGAGUGUGGUAGGGGAGAUCGGAAUUCCUGGUGUAGCGGUGAAAUGCGCAGAUAUCAGGAGGAACACCGGUGGCGAAGGCGGAUCUCUGGGCCAUUACUGACGCUGAGGAGCGAAAGCGUGGGGAGCGAACAGGAUUAGAUACCCUGGUAGUCCACGCCGUAAACGGUGGGAACUAGGUGUUGGCGACAUUCCACGUCGUCGGUGCCGCAGCUAACGCAUUAAGUUCCCCGCCUGGGGAGUACGGCCCGCAAGGCUAAAACUCAAAGGAUUUGACGGGGGCCCGCACAAGCAGCGGAUCAUGUGGGCUUAUUUCGACGCAACCCGUAAACCUUACCAAGGCUUGACAUCACCGGAAAGAUUAGAUUGGUGCCCCCUUGGUGCCGGUGUACAGUGUGCAUGCUGCGUCAGCUCGGGUCGUGGAAUGUGGGUUAGUCCCGCACAACGCAACCUUGUUCU
rnacentral:rRNA from 1 species